AACGAACGCUGGCGGCAUGCCUAACACAUGCAAGUCGAACGAGACCUUCGGGUCUAGUGGCGCACGGGUGCGUAACGCGUGGGAACCUGCCCUUAGGUUCGGAAUAACUCCCCGAAAGGGGUGCUAAUACCGGAUAAUGUCUUCGGACCAAAGAUUUAUCGCCUUUGGAUGGGCCCGCGUUGGAUUAGCUAGUUGGUAGGGUAAAAGCCUACCAAGGCGACGAUCCAUAGCUGGUCUGAGAGGAUGAUCAGCCACACUGGGACUGAGACACGGCCCAGACUCCUACGGGAGGCAGCAGUGGGGAAUAGUGGACAAUGGGCGAAAGCCUGAUCCAGCAAUGCCGCGUGAGUGAUGAAGGCCUUAGGGUUGUAAAGCUCUUUUACCCGGGAUGAUAAUGACAGUACCGGGAGAAUAAGCUCCGGCUAACUCCG
rnacentral:rRNA from 1 species